UCAACACGAAUGCACUGGACGUCUUAUCC
rnacentral:sRNA from 1 species